rnacentral:rRNA from 1 species
UGCGGAACACGUGUGCAACGUGCCUUUAUCAGGGGGAUAGCCUUUCGAAAGGAAGAUUAAUACUCCAUAAUAUAAUUUACGGCAUCGAGGAUUAUUGAAAACUCCGGUGGAUAAAGAUGGGCACGCACAAGAUUAGAUAGUUGGUGAGGUAACGGCUCACCCAGUCCAUGAUCUUUAGGGGGCCUGAGAGGGUGAUCCGCCCCACUGGAACUGACACACUGACCACACUCCUACCGGAGGCAGCAGGGAGGAAUAUUGGACAAUGGGUUAUCGCCUGAUCCACCCAUCCCGCGGGAAGGACUACGGCCCUAUGGGUUGUAAACUUCUUUUGUACAGGGAUAAACCUAUCUACGUGUAGAUAGCUGAAUGGACUGUACAAAUAACCACCGGCUAACUCCGUGCCACCAACCGCGGCAAUACGGAGGGUGCAAGCGUUAUCCGGAUUUAUUGGGUUUAAAGGGCCCGUAGGCGGAUGCGUAAGUCAUUGGUGAAAUCUCACAGCUCAACUGCGAAACUGCCAUUGAUACUGCUUGUCUUGAGUAAUGAAGAACUAACUGGAAUAACCACUGUAGCGGUGAAAUGCAUAUAUAUUACUUAGAACACCAGUUGCGAAGGCAUGUUACUAUGUCUUAACUGACGCUGAUGGACGAAAGCGUGAGGAGCGAACAUGAUUACAUACCCUGGGUAGUUCACGCCAUACACGAUGCUAACUCGCUACUUGNCGCUUUAAGCUUCACAGACUACUCGCACAGUGAUACAGCUAACCACCUGGCGAGUACCAACGCAAGCUUNGAGAUCAACGNUUGANGCGGUCGCACAGCGGUGGAUUAUGUGGUUAAUUCGAUGAUACGCUAGGAACUUACAUGCUCAAUGNAANGACAGUCNACAAUGCGUNUNCNCGACAUUUC